rnacentral:lncRNA from 1 species
AGGACGCUGCAUAAUUAAGAGUGGGGUUAUGUAGAAUAGAUAAAUAAAUUUUGUGGUAAGUUAUUGGUUGGUAAUUGACAACCUUGAGAAAUAGACUUAUGGUUAGGCAAUUUACUUGGUAAUAGUAGGAUGUUAGUGGAACAAAUGGUUAAGAAUUCAAAGGGUCAUAACCUUUGAAAUCUACUGGCCGACGGAUCAUCUUUUUGGUAGGAUAAAUAGAUUGAGGAAAGAGAGAUUGAGAGCCAAACUAUGAGAGUCGUAAGUCGAGAGCUAGACUAUGAGAGUUGUAAGCCGAGAGCCAGACUGUGAGAGUCAUAAACCGAGGUAAGCUUGGUGCUACCUCUUUGUUUUCUUUGCUUUUAUUAUUUACUUAUGAAGAAUUGUGAUUGAGAGAAGUAUUGUUGAAUUGAUAUUUGUAGAAUGGAUUAUGUAUUGAAUCAAGAUGGAAGUAGUAAGCCUUAGUGUUUUGAAGUUUAAUAAUUGAUUUUAGAUAG